GAUAAAGUUACAGAAACCUAAUGAAUAAUGGAAAUACAACAUUCAGAGGACGGAGAGAACCAAGGGAUGAAAGAGGUUCAGAGAGGAGGGUUUGGGAAAGGACAAAAUAUAAUGAGUGUGAAAACCACUUUAA